rnacentral:rRNA from 1 species
AUUAAACGCUGGCGGCAUGCCUUACACAUGCAAGUCGAACGGCAGCACGGGUGCUUGCCCCUGGUGGCGAGUGGCGAACGGGUGAGUAAUACAUCGGAACAUGUCCUGUAGUGGGGGGUAGCCCGGCGAAAGCCGGAUUACUACCGCAGACGAUCUACUUAUGACAGCGGGGUCCCUUCUGACAGCGCGCUUUAGUGUUGGCUGAUGGCUGAUUAGCUAGUUGGUGGGUUAAAGGCCUAGUAAGGGGAUGAUCAGUAGCUGAUCUGAGAGGACGACCAGCCACACUGGGACUGAGACACGGCCCAGACUCCUACGGGAGGCAGCAGUGGGGAAUUUUGGACAAUGGGCGAAAGCCUGAUACAGCAAUGCCGCGUGUGUGAAGAAGGCCUUCGGGUUGUAAAGCACUUUUGUCCGGAAAGAAAUCAUUGGCCCUAAUGCGGUCGGGGGAUGACGGUACCGGAAGACUAAGCACCGGCUAACUACGUG